rnacentral:rRNA from 1 species
UACGUAGGGUGCAAGCGUUGUCCGGAAUUAUUGGGCGUAAAGAGCUCGUAGGCGGUUUGUCGCGUCUGCUGUGAAAACGCGGGGCUCAACUCCGCGCCUGCAGUGGGUACGGGCAGACUAGAGUGCAGUAGGGGAGACUGGAAUUCCUGGUGUAGCGGUGGAAUGCGCAGAUAUCAGGAGGAACACCGGUGGCGAAGGCGGGUCUCUGGGCUGAUACUGACGCUCAUGCACGAAAGCGUGGGGAGCAAACAGG